rnacentral:rRNA from 1 species
UGCCGCGUGUGUGAAGAAGGCCUUCGGUUGUAAAGCACUUUCGGCCGGAACGAAAUCGUCCCCGUUAAUACCGGGGAUGGAUGACGGUACCGGAAGAAGAAGCACCGGCUAACUACGUGCCAGCAGCCGCGGUAAUACGUAGGGUGCGAGCGUUAAUCGGAAUUACUGGGCGUAAAGUGUGCGCAGGUGGCCGCGCAAGUCGAGUGUGAAAUCCCCGGGCUUAACUUGGGAAUUGCGCUCGAAGCUACGUGGCUAGAGUGUGGCAGAGGAAGGUGGAAUUCCACGUGUAGCGGUGAAAUGCGUAGAGAUGUGGAGGAACACCGAUGGCGAAGGCAGCCUUCUGGGCCAACACUGACGCUCAUGCACGAAAGCGUGGGGAGCAAACAGGAUUAGAUACCCUGGUAGUCCACGCCCUAAACGAUGAUGACUAGUUGUUGGGGGAGUUAAAUCCCUUAGUAACGCAGCUAACGCGUGAAGUCAUCCGCCUGGGGAGUACGGUCGCAGGAUUA